UAAGAUAAACAACAAACUUUUAUUUGACUGGGCCUUUGAAGGAGCACAAUAACCAGAGGCGCAGAAUGCAUUAUUUACCUCAGGAAGCGAUCAUGAAUUAUACAGAAAGUUGUCUGAGAGCCCCUGGGAGCUGUGACCUGUGGGGAUUUGUGAAGGAGGGAGUGCAUCGGUGGCAGCUUGCUCUGCGCUGCAGCAUGUGUCACACCCCACGGGCUCUAAUGGGGGAGCUGACCUCCACGGUAACCAGGAGGGAACAGCAAGGAGGUGGAGAACAAAAGCCUAUCCUUAGCAUACUUUAAAGUCCUUAACCUAGAUACAAAGCGUGCCUGUAAAUGAAAAGGCAGCCCUCGGAUUUUAGCUUAAGCCAAACAAAAUGAACUGGUUAUGGAAAAAUAGUUUUCUCUUGUUGACUACCGAGCAUCAGUUUUACAUUGGAGAUGAAGGGCGGAUAGAGUUUAACAGCGGUUACUCCGAGCUUCCCGUUGCCCUUGCAUUAUGGUUUUAGCCAAAUGGAAAUCCUGGACCAAUUCAGGGUUUUGUUUUGUUGUCGUCGUUGUUUUAAUGUCAGUAUUAAAACAGCUGAUGACAAAUUAAGUCAGAUGGCUUUGAACGUGUGAUUUGAUUUAUUCCUCCAUAGAUGCUGGGGUGCCUAGAAAAAUCUUAGCUCCUCCUAUAUGCACCACAUAUUUUGGAUUUAAUUUCUAGGUCAUUCAAAACAGAAACAUUCUUUAAUGUACUUUAUCAGUGUCUUCAGAUUUUGUUGGGCCUGGGACCAGUAGGAGAUGGAUCGUGUCAGUGUGGAUGGAGCUUGAUGUUGGUGUGCUUUUCAUCAAAGAGGUGAUAUGGCACUGCCAUAUUAAUUUCCUUCUCUAAGCCCCACCUGAAAAUUUUUGAUGACAGUGAAGGCAAUAAGGUCAUGAUUUUGUGGACGUGUACAAGCUGGCAAUUGCUGACUUGCUACUAAUUUGUUCCACUAAUUUGUUUGGACAGACCAGAUUUUGACUGGGCUCCUGCCAAAUUAGACCAACUUAGGCUGAAUCAGGUUAUACCAUGAUGCAGGCUGCAAACACAGAAAUGCUUGGCUCAAGAAGUGAAAAGGGGGAAAGGGAAAUCCUAAGUGUCCUGGGCUGCCAAAAGGCAAAAUUGCUUUCAAUGUUCCAGCUCCAUCUGGCAUCUGCAGGGCAAAGGAUCUGUGAGGGAAGGUGGGAUGGAUGGCAGUGGACACAAACACAUCAUUCUGUCCUCUAUUUCCUCAGUCCAUUGAAGCCUGAGGAUGCCCUUCUCACCUCCCACCUGGGAGCACGCUCUUGGCAUUGCAGGGCAAGGUGACAGUAGCAGCCACGUCCCCAAACCUUGGUCCUUUAUAUCAAAUAAAUGGAUCUUCUGGGGUAACCUGUGGGCUGUUCCAUACCCAAUCCUGCCAGGGAGACCAUUAGAAUCCUUAUGACCUAGGUUCUCACCACUGUCACUGACUUAUGUGAACGUACCUUGAGAAAGAACACAAGAUGCUUUACUGCAUUUUUAUUUGAAAGUUCAUAUUUCAGGCUGAUUCAUGCCAUAUUUCCUCAAGUGAGCAUAUUUCAGCUUGUGUUUAGGUUGCAUCAAGGUUGUGGAGGGAAGACUGCAUCAUGGAUCGCACUUCAUGGACUGCUGGAGUGAUUAUAGAUGCAGAAAUCAAAGGGGAUGAAGAGGAGAAAAGCAAAUCCUUUAUGGUGUAGCAGAGCAUCAGGACUGUGCUGUGCUGAGCCUUAGAUAAAGCAUGGGAGAGCUGAGGCCAUUUUUAUCAGAAGUACACUAAGAUUCCAUUAUUUGAGCUGAUCUUGGGCAACAAAGCAUACUCUUUGGCUGAUUGGUUGGUUGGAUGGCUGGUUGGGUGGUAGUUUGUCCUGCUGGUUGUUGGUUGCCUGGUUUGGUUGGUUGGUUGGUUGAUUGAUCUGGCUGGUUGGUUGGUUGGUUGACUGAUUGAUUGGUUGGUUGGCUAGUUGGCUGGUUAGUUGAUUUGUUGGCUGGUUGGCUGGUUUGUUGGUUGGUGGGUUGGGGUGGUUCAUUUGCAUGACUGAUUAGUUGGCUGAUUGGUUGGCUGGUUUUGGUUGGCUGGUUUGGUUGGUUGGCUCAUUGGUUGGCUGGUUUGAUCAGUUAAUGAGUUGGCUGGUUUGGUUGACUGGUUUGAUUGGUUAGUUGGCAGGUUUGGUUGGUUAGUUGGCAGGUUUGUCUGGUUGGUUGUUUGGUUCACUGGUAGGCUGGUUUGGUCGGUUGGUGAGUUGGCUGGUUUGAUUGCAUCAUUGGUUAGUUGGCUGUUUGGUUGGCUGGUUUGUUUCAUUUGGUUUGCUUUAAUGGAGUUGGUGGCCUUCAGGCUUUUGUGGGACGUGUUCAACUACAGAGUGGGACAAAAUCCUGAUUAAGAAAAUAGCUGUGAAGCUCCUUGACUGAGGAAGGGUCUUUUUAUUAUUAUCCUUUACAUAUUUAUUUGACAGUCAUAGACAACAGAUGAUGAUGAAUCUUUUUCUGCAUACUUCAUGUGGUCAAAAAAGGAUUUGGCGUCUUUGGAUGCCUGAAUUGUUCGUAUUGUUGUUCUUAAGGUUACAGACUGCUAUAUGAUUGCUUUGUGUUCUUGGCACUAAAAUGAAAAUAAAAAUAAAAUUCAGAACACCCAUAUAUUCAUAACUGAUGGUUUUGUUUUGUACUGUUUUGUUUUCCUUAAAUAGUUGAAAUAGUUCAGCCUGAUUGACCAGACCAAGCCAUGGCGGUGAUAAUACGACUUAACAUGAUUUAUUCUAAGCAGCUUCGCUUGCAGUUUUCCUGGUGGAUGGCUUUCUUCCUGAAGUGGUGCUAAACCCCAUGAAAUACAGCAGAUCUCUAUGCAGAAUUGAGGGACGCUGAUGUUUGCUAAGUCAACCUGCAGCAAUUCCAGGCAGGUUCCUCUGAGCUCUCCGACUUGCACAUCUCAUCUGGAACGUUUUUUUAUCAGCAACACAGAGAGGGUUUCUCGCAGUUAAAUCCCCAACGUGUAUGUGGAAUUAAGGGCCACUGCAUACAUCCUGGUUAUCUCUAACUGUUCAAAC
ensembl:lncRNA